rnacentral:rRNA from 1 species
CCUACGGGUGGCAGCAGUGAGGAAUAUUGGUCAAUGGGCGCGAGCCUGAACCAGCCAAGUCGCGUGAGGGAAGACGGUCCUAUGGAUUGUCAACCUCUUUUGUCGGGGAGCAAAAGACGCCAUGCGUGGCUUUCCGCGAGUACCCGAAGAAAAAGCAUCGGCUAACUCCGUGCCAGCAGCCGCGGUAAUACGGGGGAUGCGAGCGUUAUCCGGAUUUAUUGGGGUUAAAGGGUGCGCAGGCGGAAGAUCAAGUCAGCGGUAAAAUUUUUAGGCUCAACCUCUGCGAGCCGUUGAAACUGGUUGUCUUGAGUGAGUUAGAAGUAGGCGGAAUGCGUGGUGUAGCGGUGAAAUGCAUAGAUAUCACGCAGAACUCCGAUUGCGAAGGCAGCAUACCGGCGCUCAACUGACGCACAUGCACGAAAGUGUGGGUAUCGAACAGGAUUAGAUACCCCAGUAGUC